GUUCUAUGACACAAACGCCUGAAGUUGUUUUUUUUUUAAGGUAUUCAUUUUGGUCCUUUUCGACUUCCGUAGUCCCGUAAUGGGAUUUGCACGAUGGGAGUUGUAGUUUGCUGUCUUGUGCCCCUGCCUGACAAGCAGGUAGACAGGAGCUCAAUCUGAAAGAAUUUGAAUAUACAUUACACAGGAUAGACUGACUUCACAGAAUACACUACGAAGUUUGCAAUCUUAAGGAAUUCUUGAGUGGUGAAGAACGUCUAGAAAAGCUAAUACAAAAGUUACAAGAAUCUGCUGAUACUAAAGCCAUCCUGGAGCUUAUAGAAAACUAUUCUGCAACACAGGGAACAUGAUAAAUUCAGCUUUCAUUUUAGGGGCAUUGUAUAUGGCAGAACAAACUAUUUUCAAGCAGCAGGACAAAAACAGAAUACAAAGAUGUAUAUGGCAAUAGAUUAUGAGUUUACGCCUCUAUCUAUUUUCUACCAGUCAGGAGUUGUACAAAAAUAUACCAAUGCAAGCUAGGAACUAUAUCUGAAGUGUUUUAGCCAUAUAAGCCACUGAUUAAAAGAAGCUUCAUUGGUUCCUGCAGUUUGAUUCCUCUAGUCACUCAUUCAACAUAAUUUACCUCAAAUGCCAAAACUUGAAAUUAAUUUAUUUAGUUUUUACUAUACAUUUACUUAAGCUUCCUGUAAAGUUACCAUUGAAACAUUUAGGGGCUUAUUUAUGAGCCAAAACAACCUCAAUGUGCCUUGUGUAAAGUACAGGUUACAGCUACAUUCUGUUGGCAGUUCCUUCAUAUAGUACACUAAAUUACAUGAGAACUGCAGUGAAUAUGAAUUGGACAGAUAUCCUUAUUUAACAUGGUUAUGUGUACAUCUGCUUUUAAUGACUUCCAGUUUAUUUCUGUAGUCAUAGAUAGUCGAUUGGUUUGCUUAUUGCUGGCAGAGCCUGUAUGUAGCAAGAAAAGCAAUUAAAAUACGACUUGUAUUAGCAGGGGAAACCAAUAUGUAUUAUUUAUGCCGUGUAUGUUUUUAAAGGCAGGGAUGAUCACUGUAAUAUUCACAUAUAAUCUAGUCUGGUCAUUUCCCUAUGGGACCAGACUGUAAAUUAUAUCCUUAUAAACGGCGCGUUCUGAUGUCAGAAAACGCCAUUUAUAACGGGUCCCCGGCUGCCCCAUUUUUACCCCUCCGCGUUCAAAUUGAAAGCCGACGAGCCCGAAUUGGAUGCCAGCGCACCUGAUUUGGACACCAGCGACCAGAAUUGGAUGCUGACCCCCCUCCCAACAUUUCACACAAAAUGUAGAUUAUAAUGCAUAAUGUACCCCCUACUGAAAUCUAUAAAGAUAUUAGAAGUCACCUCGGAGUUAUGUGACCUGUAUAAAAGCAUAACUCCUGGUCAUCUGGUCACAUAACUCCUCGGUGACAUAAUAUAUUGUAAAUUACAGUAGGGGGUACAUUAUCCACUAUAUAUUCAUACUGUUACCUGUUCAUGUGAGUGGCCAUUGUAAUGUUUAUGACAAACUCUGAUUUCAGUAGGUGAUUUUUCUACCUCCAUUAGUAUCUGCAUCACAAAGUGUGUUUCCAUUUGCAAUUAAUGGGAAUAGGAUGGCAGUGGGGACAAAAGUUUUAAUAAAGCAACAGAUAAAAAGGACCAUAUUCCAGGGGCAAAUAUUCAGUGUCCUUGAAGUAUGUACUACUUGCCACUCACUGGAAGUUCUCAUCAAACACAUGGAACGUCGUUUGGCCAUACCUGGAAGGCUAUAGGCACACAGGCUGAAGGCUGCGGCUGUUGUCAGCAUUCAUGCUUUGCAGGCUGAGAGAAGC